ACUUAUAUAUGUAUAUAUACCUCGCUCGCUCCUUAGAUUUGCAUAGACAAAAAAAAACCAAGAAUAAGAAUUAUAUUGAUUCACACUAAUUUGUUAGAAAGAUGUCUAAGCUAUCUUUGGGAAACAUUUUCUUAUUUGUGUUUCUGGUUUCAGUUGUGUGGAUGACAAGCAUAGUAGCCGCACGAGAAAAAGUGUUGACGUGCACAGAAACUUGGGUUGACGAAGAUUGCAAAAGAGGCACCCCUUUUAGUAAUUGUCGCAUCAAUUGUGAAGAAAAAUAUGGUCCUUAUUACUACGGUGCAGGUUGCUUAGAACCUAGACCCUUUUGUAUAUGCACGCAUAUAUGUUAAAACUUAAAAGUAAUAAUAAGGUGGCUAUUUAUAUAAAAAUAUUUUUUAUGUGAAAAUAAUUGCU